GCGCCCAUAGCUCAAUUGGAUAGAGUGACGGUCUACGGAACCGUAGGUUGCAGGUUCAAAUCUUGCUGGGCGCACCA
rnacentral:tRNA from 1 species